UACGAAGGAUUCGAGCGUUAUCCGGAUUUAUUGGGUUUAAAGGGUGCGUAGGUGGAUUAAUAAGUCAGUGGUGAAAGCCCGAAGCUCAACUUCGGAACUGCCAUUGAUACUGUUAAUCUUGAGUACAAUUGAAGUGGGCGGAAUGUGUCAUGUAGCGGUGAAAUGCUUAGAUAUGACACAGAACACCGAUUGCGAAGGCAGCUCACUAAGUUGUAACUGACACUGAGGCACGAAAGCGUGGGGAGCAAACAGG
rnacentral:rRNA from 1 species